rnacentral:lncRNA from 1 species
GCAGAGAGCAUUUCCUGUGCCAGCGCAGCUGUAGCAGCUGCACCUCCUGCGUGGGCUGUGAGCCUGGGGCCCGCCGAGGUGGGGAUGCUGACAUUUUGCUCAGGCAAAAGACUUUUCCUGGCUGCCAGACUCACCACCUCCUCAUUGCAAAUCUGUCGUGAGUACGUCCCAGAGGUGAAGACGGUGGCUCUUACCAGCACAGGAGAUCAAGAAGCGAAACCACACGUCUGUAAACUCUCCCUUCCCGACUGAGACCUCUUCCGAUGCAGCAGACAUGGCUGGAGGAAAAAAACCAAACCUGAGUCCUUGAAAACUCACAGUCCUGGCAAAUGAGUUGAAAGAAUGCAGAAUCUACCAAAAAGAGCUUCAGUAUCUGAAGGAGUCCUUGGGGGGGGGGGGGGGUCUCCAUUCAGGAGCUCUGGGAACUGAGUCUGUGACACUGGAUUGAAGACACCAGUUGGAGUUUGAGACAAAAAAAGCAAAUUCAGACACUGUGACUUCAGGAGAAGGUUGGCUGAGAAUGAGAUACUCCAGCUUUUGGACAUGCUGGGCUACAAGCAUCAUUACAACAUCUCACUGGGCUGCCUUCUGCAAUGCCACCAAACAGUGGUUCCAAGAGAAGCCCAAUGGCCUCCUGUACUUUCUUUCGGCACCAGUCACUGCAAAGUGUUGUGGAGCACAGGUUUCUUGGUAAGACAGAUCUGUGCAGACACCUGCUGAGUAAGGGGAGGUGAGACUCAUAUCCAAGGGAAAGCUUGUAGCUGGGAUUUCUCGAGUAGAAAAGAGUCUAUAAACAUGGAUAAAAAUGGUUAUAUAAACGAAGACUUGUAUUUGGCUGGAACAGAGAUCUGACUUCAGUAGCUUAACAUCCCAGGGUUUAUUUUCUCAGGCAAAAGACUUCUGGAGUUUAGCAGUCCUGGGCUGCUCUGCUGGCUCCACAAAGUCAUCUGAGGCCCAGCUCCUUCUGUGUCCUUGAUCUGCUACAGUGGUUUUCAUUCUUAAGGUUAGCUCAUGUUUGUGACUCCUGGACACAGCAUGGCUGCUGGAGCUCCAGCCAUCACAUUUCAGGCAGAAGGGAAGAAGAAGGGCUUAUAUUUCCUUUUAAAGAGUUUUUCCAGAAGUUUUCCACCAACAUUUCCGCUAUGUCCCUUUGACCUAGAACUUUGUCAUUGGGCCACAGCUGGUUCUAAGGGAAUUUGGGGAAUAGAGGUUUCAGCUGGGUGUGUUGCUAGCUUACACUGAGACAGGGAUCCCCUGCAAACAAAAAUGAGGGAAAUGGAUUUGGGGUAGGAAUUAGCAGUCUCUGCCCUAGUUCUGAAAUCAAGUUCUUAUCCCCUCCUGAAAAGGACCUCAGGUCUUAAUUGGAGAAACUAUGGCAAUCACAGACACCUGGAAGCAGAGACUUCUUUCAAAAUUACACAGAGGCCUUCAGAUCUAAGGACUCUAGAAACCUUUAAAUCACAGCCUCUGGGAAGAUUCUAAGCUCUGUGCAAAUUUAAAUUUAUUGCAUUUUUUUCUACUUUUUUUUUUUUUUUUAAAGAAAUGAAUUCUUUUUACGUUUUCCCUCCCACAUUGUAUCAUUCCCACUGGGUCUUAAGUUACAUAAUGCAGAGAAGAGCAGCGUGAGGAGUGAGGAUGUUUUUGACUGUACCGACAGCUCUUCUGUUCACUUGGUCUGUGAUGGUUUGUAAUGCAAUUCCUCCAUUUUUCUAAGAUUAUUUCUAACAAUAAUACUCUCGGAGGUGCAGGGACUGAUGGGUCCUGGUGCGGCCAUUAAAAUUCUGGGUUCAUACAGCACCCCUUCUCUGUAACAUGAGCCCCCAAAUAAAGCACUGCUGGCAAUAUUCACCAUUGUCAGAAAACCCAUUUUCCUGCUGCAGAAUCAGGCUGUGAAUAACCACUCCUUGCUAGCGGCACGAGGAAUUGUAGUUGCAGUAAUUCACUUCCAUGUGGCCUGGGCAUGAGAAGCAAGCCUGUCCCACAAGGAUAAAACAUAUACCAAGCUAGGGCCGUAGGACUUGUUUACUGGGAUAUUUUUCAGUAAAGGGCUCUCUUUG